rnacentral:rRNA from 1 species
UCCAGACUCCUACGGGAGGCAGCAGUGGGGAAUAUUGCACAAUGGGGGAAACCCUGAUGCAGCAACGCCGCGUGAGUGAAGAAGUAUUUCGGUAUGUAAAGCUCUAUCAGCAGGGAAGAAGAAAGACGGUACCUGACUAAGAAGCCCCGGCUAACUACGUGCUAGCAGCCGCGGUAAUACGUAGGGGGCAAGCGUUAUCCGGAUUUACUGGGUGUAAAGGGAGCGUAGGCGGUAUGUCAAGUCAAGGGUGAAAUCCCCGCGCUCAACGUGGGAACUGCCUUUGAAACUGGCAAACUGGAGUGUGUGAGAGGAUAGUGGAAUUCCAGGUGUAGGAGUGAAAUCCGUAGAUAUCUGGAGGAACCUCAGUGGCGAAGGCGACUAUCUGGCACAUAACUGACGCUGAGGAGCGAAAGCGCGGGUAGCAAACAGGAUUAGAUACCCCUGUA